rnacentral:rRNA from 1 species
GAUGUCGACUAGCCGUUGGGCUCCUUGAGAGCUUUGUGGCGCAGUUAACGCGAUAAGUCGACCGCCUGGGGAGUACGGCCGCAAGGUUAAAACUCAAAUGAAUUGACGGGGGCCCGCACAAGCGGUGGAGCAUGUGGUUUAAUUCGAUGCAACGCGAAGAACCUUACCUACCCUUGACAUCGAGAGAACUUUCCAGAGAUGGAUUGGUGCCUUCGGGAACUCUCAGACAGGUGCUGCAUGGCUGUCGUCAGCUCGUGUUGUGAAAUGUUGGGUUAAGUCCCGUAACGAGCGCAACCCUUGUCCCUAUUUGCCAGCGAUUCGGUCGGGAACUCUAGGGAGACUGCCGGUGACAAACCGGAGGAAGGUGGGGACGACGUCAAGUCAUCAUGGCCCUUACGGGUAGGGCUACACACGUGCUACAAUGGCCGGUACAAUGGGUUGCGAAUCCGCGAGGUGGAGCUAAUCCCAUAAAGCCGGUCUCAGUCCGGAUCGGAGUCUGCAACUCGACUCCGUGAAGUCGGAAUCGCUAGUAAUCGUGAAUCAGAAUGUCACGGUGAAUACGUUCCCGGGCCUUGUACACACCGCCCGUCACACCAUGGGAGUGGACUGCACCAGAAGUGGUUAGCCUAACUUCGGAGGGCGAUCACCACGGUGUGGUUCAUGACUGGGGUGAAGUCGUA